rnacentral:rRNA from 1 species
GACGAACGCUGGCGGCGUGCUUAACACAUGCAAGUCGAACGGACAGGCCCUGCUUUUGUGGGUUUCUCGAUUGGCGCACGGGUGAGUAACACGUGAGUAACACGCCCUUGACUUUGGGAUAUCUUCACGGAACUGCGGCUCUUACCCCAUAUGAGCUCCUGCUCCGUGUUGUGGGUUAGAAAGUUUCGGCGGUUCGGGAUGGACUCGCGGCUUCUCAGCUUGUUGGUCGGGUAGUGGAUUACCAAGGCUUUGACGGCUAGCCCGCAUGAGAGGGGUAACGGGGACCAUGGGACUGCGAGAGGCAGCAGUAGGCUAUGGGCGGCAGCAGUGGGGAAUAUGGCACAACGGGGGGAAGCCUGAUGCAGCAAUGUCGCGUGCGGGAUACCGUGUUUCGGGGUGUAAACAGCUUUCGCCGGUGACGAAGAGUGAGUGACGGUAAUGGGUAAAAAAGCACCGGCUAACUACGUG